AGUGGCGGACGGGUGAGGAAUACAUGGGUACCUGCCCAGGGGUGGGGGAUAACGGAGGGAAACCUUCGCUAAUACCGCAUACGACCUGAGGGUGAAAGAUUUAUCGCCCCUGGAGGGGCCCAUGUGAGAUUAGCUUGUUGGUGGGGUAACGGCCUACCAAGGCGACGAUCUCUAGCUGGUCUGAGAGGAUGAUCAGCCACACCGGGACUGGGACACGGCCCGGACUCCUACGGGAGGCAGCAGUGGGGAAUAUUGGACAAUGGGGGCAACCCUGAUCCAGCAAUGCCGCGUGAGUGAUGAAGGCCUUCGGGUUGUAAAGCUCUUUUGGCAGGGACGAUGAUGACGGUACCUGCAGAAUAAGCCCCGGCAAACUUCGUGCCAGCAGCCGCGGUAAUACGAAGGGGGCGAGCGUUGUUCGGAGUUACUGGGCGUAAAGGGCGCGCAGGCGGUUAUCCAAGUCAGAUGUGAAAGCCCCGGGCUCAACCCGGGAAAUGCAUUUGGGACUGGAUGACUUGAGUACGGGAGAGGAUGAUGGAAUUCCCAGUGUAGAGGUGAAAUUCGCAGAUAUUGGGAAGAACACCGGUGGCGAAGGCGGUCAUCUGGCCCGUAACUGACGCUGAGGCGCGAAAGCGUGGGGAGCAAACAGGAUUAGAUACCCUGGUAGUCCACGCUGU
rnacentral:rRNA from 1 species